AGGAUCCUCUUGCCUGCCUUCCUUGGCUGGUUUUGCAGGCAUGUACCAUGAUGCCUAGCUCCACAGCCAGAAUUUAAAAGUGUUUUUAAUAUGUCAGUUAUUAACCCAGCCUACUACUAUAUGAUCGAACGAAGUUAAAUAUAUCUGUACAUAAUAAUAGCACAUUCUCUAUGACAAAGAUCACUGGGAGGCACUGAAAUUAAGGGAAAUAAUCUAGAAGUCACUAGUUCCUGAAAAUCAACAGGUUCUGGCUUC